rnacentral:rRNA from 1 species
GACGAACGCUGGCGGCGUGCUUAACACAUGCAAGUCGAACGGUAAGGCCUUUCGUGUUUCACGUGCUGCGAACGCGUGAGUAACACUUGGGUGAUCUUCCCUUCCCUUCGGGUUAAGCCUGGGUUCCUGGGUCUAAUACCAGAUCUGACCUCCUACCGCAUGUUCGGGGGUGGGAAUGUUCAUCGGUGGCGGAUGGGCCCGCGGCCUAUCAGCUUGUUGGUGGGGUAGUGGCCUACCAAGGCGAUGACGGGUAGCCGUCCUGAGAGGGUGACCGGCCACACUGGGACUGAGACACGGCCCAGACUCCUGCGGGAGGCAGCAGUGGGGAAUAUUGCACAAUGGGCGAAAGCCUGAUGCAGCAACGCCGCGUGAGGGAUGACGGCCUUCGGGUUGUAAACCUCUUUCGGCAGGGACGAAGCGCAAGUGACGGUAACGGCAAAAGAAGCACCGGCUAACUACGUG